CCUACGGGUGGCAGCAGUCGAGAAUCAUUCACAAUGGGGGAAACCCUGAUGGUGCGACGCCGCGUGGGGGAAUGCAGGUCUUCGGAUUGUAAACCCCUGUCAUGUGGGAGCAAAUUAAAAAGAUAGUACCACAAGAGGAAGAGACGGCUAACUCUGUGCCAGCAGCCGCGGUCAUACAGAGGUCUCAAGCGUUGUUCGGAUUCACUGGGCGUAAAGCGUGCGUAGGCUGUUUCGUAAGUCUGGUGUGAAAGGCGAGGGCUCAACCCGCGUACGGAAAAUGAUACUGCGAGACUAGAGUAAUGGAGGGGGAGCCGGAAUUCUGGGUGUAGCAGUGAAAUGCGUAGAUAUCGAGAGGAACACUCGUGGCGAAGGCGGGUUCCUGGACAUUAACUGACGCUGAGGCACGAAGGUCAGGGGAGCGAAAGGGAUUAGAUACCCGAGUAGUC
rnacentral:rRNA from 1 species